rnacentral:rRNA from 1 species
AGACCGUUCUCUUCAGAGGCCGGUCAUUGGAAUGGGUACAAUUUAAACCCUUUAACGAGUAUCUAUGAGAGGGCAAGUCUGGUGCCAGCAGCCGCGGUAAUUCCAGCUCUCAAAAUGCAUAGAAUCAUUGCUGCGGUUAAAAAGCUCGUAGUUGGAUCUGUGCUGGCGGGUCGGUCCACCUUCGGGUGCGCACUGAUUUCGCCGGCUUUCCUGCUGUAUUUGGCCCUGUGCCUUUCAACGGGUGCAGUGUCCAGUGCAGCAAGUUUACCUUGAACAAAUCAGAGUGCUUCAAACAGGCGUUUCGCUUGAAUGUUCGUGCAUGGAAUAAUAGAAGAGGAUUUCGGUUCUAUUUUAUUGGUUUUAUAGACUGAGAUAAUGGUUAACAGAGACUAACGGGGGCAUUAGUAUUGCUACGUGAGAGGUGAAAUUCUUGGACCGUAGCAAGACUGACUACAGCGAAAGCAUUUGCCAAGAAAGUCUUCAUUAAUCAAGAACGAAAGUCAGAGGUUCGAAGGCGAUCAGAUACCGCCCUAGUUCUGACCGUAAACGAUGCCAACUAGUGAUCCGCCGGUGGAACAUUCGCCCUGGUGGGGAACUUCCCGGAAACGAAAGUCUUCCGGUUCCGGGGGAAGUAUGGUUGCAAAGCUGAAACUUAAAGGAAUUGACGGAAGGGCACCACCAGGAGUGGAGCCUGCGGCUUAAUUUGACCCAACACGGGAAAACUCACCCGGCCCGGACACCGUAAGGAUUGACAGAUUGAUAGCUCUUUCAUGAUUCGGUGGAUGGUGGUGCAUGGCCGUUCUUAGUUCGUGGAGCGAUUUGUCUGGUUUAUUCCGAUAACGAGCGAGACUCUGGCCUACUAAAUAGUUUACACAUUGCUUCUGUGUGCAUAACUUCUUAGAGGGAUUUUCGGUGUUCAGCCGCAAGAAAUCGAGCAAUAACAGGUCUGUGAUGCCCUUAGAUGUCCGGGGCUGCACGCGCGCUACACUGGCAAAAUCAGCGUGCUUGUCCUUCCCCGAAAGGGGUUGGUAAACUCGUGAAAAUUUGCCGUGAUUGGGAUCGGAAAUUGCAAUUAUUUUCCGUGAACGAGGAAUUCCAAGUAAGUGCGAGUCAUCAACUCGCGUUGAUUACGUCCCUGCCCUUUGUACACACCGCCCGUCGCUGCCCGGGACUGAGCCGUUUCGAGAAACUUGGAGACCGCUGAUCUGGUAACUUCGAUUGCCAUUUUGGUGGGAACCAAUUUAA